rnacentral:misc_RNA from 1 species
GGAACAGUGAGGCUUGCCAAUUUAGGACAAUCUGCAGUAUAUAGAGAAGCUCCUGAGCUUGGAAUCUAAUAUAUCCUGUGUCACUAUGUGAGGUUCAAGCAGUAAUUCCCUUAUCAUCAUCCUAUUGUUUGUUUCAAGUUUCAGCGUGGUGAAUAUGUUUGUGGAUGCUGCAUUUUCUGUAUUGAUUGUGUUGUAUAUGCUACAAAGUCUGCAUUGAAUCCCUUAUGAAAUAGUUAUUUAAGAAA